UACGGAGGGGACUAGCGUUGUUCGGAAUUAUUGGGCGUAAAGAGCUCGUAGGCGGCUUGUCACGUCGGGUGUGAAAGCCCGGGGCUUAACCCCGGGUCUGCAUUCGAUACGGGCAGGCUAGAGUGUGGUAGGGGAGAUCGGAAUUCCUGGUGUAGCGGUGAAAUGCGCAGAUAUCAGGAGGAACACCGGUGGCGAAGGCGGAUCUCUGGGCCACUACUGACGCUGAGGAGCGAAAGCGUGGGGAGCGAACAGG
rnacentral:rRNA from 1 species